UUCCGGGAGGAAGUGACGUAUACCGCGCGCGACAUAAGUGUGACGCACCCGACCCAGGGAGCCCGGCGCAUGGAUGGGCGUUCAUUCAACCCUUCAAUUCAAAAAUACUGUCCUUACUGAGCAUUCUAGGUGAGGAGCUAGCCCCUUUGCAGUGCGACUAACAGAUACAGUUCCUCUCCUCGUAGAACUACCUAUCUAGUAAAGAAAACACAUUAAUCAAGUAAUCCUGCAAUCGAAUGCAAAAGGGCAGCGGCGAAUAGCAAAAGUUCUUAAUUUUGAUGAAGUCCAACUUAGCAGUUUUUCCUCUUAUGGAUCAUGAUUUUGGAGUCAAGUCUAAGAACUCUUAGCCCUAGAUCCUGAAAACUUUUCUCCUGUGCUUUUUCUGAAAGUUUUCUAGGUUUACAUUUAAGUCUGUGAUCCAUUUUGAGUUGAUUUCUGUAUAAGGUAUUGAGACUUAGUUUCAGCCCCCACUCCCACCCCACCCCUUUGGAUGUCCAAUUGCUCCAGUAUCACAUGAUGAGAGCUUUACUUUUCAAAGCUGUAAAGUGAUGGAUGAUCCCUUGGGUAAGAGUCCAGCUCUAUACCAUGAGAAGAACCAACAUGAGCCUGACCUCACUUCCCAAGGGACCACUAAUAUUUCUCAGAAACUUUGUAAUAUUCUACAUAUUUAUUUGUAUUUUAUGUAUUCAGUAAUUAGGUAAUACUGUACAUAAUAUUUAAAGGCUUCAGUUUUCAUCUUAAAAUUUAUUAGGUAAGGUAUGGAUAUACCUUUUUAUUUUCUAGAUGUAUACUGUUGUCAAUACCAUUUAUUAAAUAUUCUUUUCCUAAUUUGAAAUAUCACCUUUUCCAAUACUAAAUUCCCAUAUAUAUUUGGGAUCUAUUUCUGUACUUUACAUUCUUUUCCAUUGGUCUGUUCAUGCACUGGUACACACUUAAAUAUUUAAAGGUUUAUAAUAUAUAUAUAUAUAUAUAUUUUUUUUUUUUUUUUUUUUUUGCGGUACGCGGGCCUCUCACUGUUGUGGCCUCUCCCGUUGUGGAGCACAGGCUCCGGACACGCAGGCUCAGCGGCCAUGGCUCACAGGCCCAGCCACUCCAUGGCAUGUGGGAUCUUCCCGGACCGGGGCACGAACCCGUGUCCCCUGCAUCGGCAGGCAGACUCUCAACCACUGCGCCACCAGGGAAGCCCAGUUUAUAAUAUUUUAAAAAUAGAAGAUGCAGUCCUUCCUCAUUCUUCAGUUGCUGGUUAGGUGGAGAGGCUCUGGAACCAGUCUACCUGGGGUUAAAUCCUGGCUGUUACUUACUAGUUGUGUGACCUUGGGAAAGCUACUUAAACACUCUGGGCUUAAGUUUCUUCAUCUAGAAGGGUUGAUAAGAGUAUGUACCUCAUAGAGUUGUUGCAUUAAAUGAACAGAGUGACACA